rnacentral:rRNA from 1 species
AUUGAACGCUGGCGGCAUGCCUUACACAUGCAAGUCGAACGGCAGCAUAGGAGCUUGCUCCUGAUGGCGAGUGGCGAACGGGUGAGUAAUAUAUCGGAACGUGCCCUAGAGUGGGGGAUAACUAGUCGAAAGACUAGCUAAUACCGCAUACGAUCUACGGAUGAAAGUGGGGGAUCGCAAGACCUCAUGCUCCUGGAGCGGCCGAUAUCUGAUUAGCUAGUUGGUGGGGUAAAAGCCUACCAAGGCGACGAUCAGUAGCUGGUCUGAGAGGACGACCAGCCACACUGGGACUUAGACACGGCCCAGACUCCUACGGGAGGCAGCAGUGGGGAAUUUUGGACAAUGGGGGCAACCCUGAUCCAGCAAUGCCGCGUGAGUGAAGAAGGCCUUCGGGUUGUAAAGCUCUUUUGUCAGGGAAGAAACGGUGGUAGCUAAUAUCUACUACUAAUGACGGUACCUGAAGAAUAAGCACCGGCUAACUACGUGCCAGCCGCCGCCGUAAAAC